UUCUUCUCUCCUUUCUUCUUCCUCUGAAAAUCUCCGUUCUUGUUUCCAUCGUCAUCAUCUCCGCUUAAUCUCAUUCAUCUCGUUGUUACUCCAGUCACUGUGAAUCAUAAUUCUUUUUGGUAAUCAAGAAAUGAAAGAAGAUGAUAUCACCAUUCCAAUCAAUAAUACCAAAAUCAGAUCAUCAACUAGUCCUUCUGCUUCAUCUUCUUCUGGUACGAGAAGAUGUCCAUGGAGACACAGCCAAACAGGACUCGCUGUACUAGCAGUAUUAUCACUCGUCUCCUCUACAACCGCUUGGUUAUCUCUUGUCUUCUCAGAUACAACUACUCGUUGUUGGCAUCGUUUUAAAGAUUGGGAACGAAAUCCAUGGCACCACCAUCUUCAUCUUCAUAAACAACCACCACCACCGCCGCCGCCUCCGUUGAUUUCUUCUUCCACAUUCAUCAAUAACACUAAUCAGAAACAAGAAGAAGAAGGAGACAAAGAAGAAUUAUCAUUGAAACACAUUGUAUUCGGAAUCGCCAGUUCAUCGCAGCUAUGGAAUAAACGGAAAGAAUUUGUUAAAUUAUGGUGGCGGCCGAAUGACAUGCGCGGUCAUGUCUGGUUAGACGAGAAACUAGUACACAAGAAGAAUGCCGGUUCCGAUGAUGAUGAUGAUCGGUUGUUGUUGCCGGAGAUUAUGGUAUCUGAAGACAUUUCUAGGUUUCGGUAUACAAAUCCAAUCGGACAUCCAUCUGGUCCAAGAAUCUCGAGAAUCGUUGCGGAAUGUUUCCGGCUUGGAUUACCAAACGUAAGAUGGUUUGUAAUGGGAGAUGAUGAUACGAUUUUUAACCCUGAUAAUCUUGUUUCUGUUUUAAGCAAAUAUGAUUCAAAUGAAUUGGUUUACAUUGGUAGUAAUUCUGAGAGUCAUUCUGCUAAUACUUAUUUUAGCCAUUCUAUGGCAUUUGGGGGUGCUGGUAUUGCUAUUAGCUAUCCACUUGCUCACUCCCUUUCUAAAAUUCAAGAUGAUUGUCUCGAACGGUACCCGAAGCUAUACGGGAGCGACGAUCGUCUCCAUGCUUGUGUUUCUGAACUUGGUGUUCCUUUAACUAGAGAACAUGGAUUCCAUCAGUGGGAUAUUAGGGGGAAUGCUCAUGGACUUUUAUCUGCACAUCCAAUAGCUCCAUUUGUGUCAAUUCACCAUGUUGAGGCUGUUGAUCCGUUUUUUCCUGGUUUGAGCUCUUUAGAUGGUUUGAGACUUUUCACUAAAUCUAUGAAAACUGGUCCUCCGAGCUUUUUACAACGUUCUAUCUGCUAUGACCAUAAGAGGCGGUUAACAUUUUCUGUCUCGCUGGGUUAUGUUGUUCAAGUGUUCCCUAACAUUGUGCUUCCUCGAGAACUAGAGCGGUCUGAGCAAACAUAUUCGGCAUGGAAUAGACUUAGGCACAGGAGUGAGUUUGAUUUCGACACAAGAGAAUCUCAUAAAACAGCGUGUAAGAGAAGAGCUCUUUUCUUUUUGAAGGAUGUAACGAAACACGGAAAUGUUACUGUGGGUUCAUAUGGGCGGGCCAAAGAGAGAGACGGUCUCAAAAGGAAAAUAUAUUGUUUCCCAAGACAGCUUCCGUUGCGCCAUGUGCAAAAUAUCAGGGUGGUGGGUUAUCCACUGAGCAAGAACUGGCAUCUGGUGCCACGUCGGCUGUGCUGCAGAGUAAAUCAAACAAAUGAUGAUCAUCUUAGAUUAUUAGUCGGACAGUGUCGUAAGGGAGGUCUUGGCUCUUUUGUUGAUUCAGUGUGAGUGGUGAUCCAGUGAGGCUUCUUCGCACUCUCGUUCUUAGGCAGGGAGUUCCUUGUGUAGAUGAUCCUUUUCUAUCAACUGGCAUUCAAUCUUAAAGUGAAUCGUAAUGAUUGUGCAUAUUUGAAGAAGCUUCAAUGUACACAAGCGAGUUGGACAAAAAUUGAACAUGCAGACAGCUAAACCCUCAAGUUUGGAAAUUGUAGUCUUUGCCUUCACAGUUUUCUUCAGAAGAGCUGAACUUGCACAAAUGCCUGUUCGGGAUAGUCUUGCUUACUAUGAUAGGUUUGAUGCCAGUGAGUACUUGGAUAACCAAAGGGCAUUGCAAGUUCGUUGCUAGUUGGAUGACACUGGUCUGAUCAGUAUCUGGCGAUAAUUGUAUGCUAUUAAAUGUUAGCUCUGUGCAAGGAACAGCUUGACUGCAGUUCAAAACCACUGCUGCUUGCGUAGCUGAUGUUCCGGUGAAGUGCUCGUAUGUCACAUUCUUAAUUCGAACAGCAGUAUUAUGAAGAACGGAGGAUUAGAUAAGAAUGAUAUGAUAUGUCUAUGUACUACGUCCCACUGUGGUUGU